GAUGAAGAACGUAGCGAAAUGCGAUAAGUAAUGUGAAUUGCAGAAUUCAGUGAAUCAUCGAGUUUUUGAACGCAUAUUGCGCCCCCUGGUAUUCCGGGGGGCAUGCCUGUCCGAGCGUCAUUGCUGCCCUCAAGCACGGCUUGUGUGUUGGGCCUCCGUCCUCCUCCCGGGGGACGGGCCCGAAAGGCAGCGGCGGCACCGCGUCCGGUCCUCGAGCGUAUGGGGCUUCGUCACCCGCUCUUGUAGGCCCGGCCGGCGCUUGCCGACACAUCAAUCUUUUUUCCAGGUUGACCUCGGAUCAGGUAGGGAUACCCGCUGAACUUAAGCAUAUCAAUAAGCGGAGGA
rnacentral:misc_RNA from 1 species